UACGGAGGGGGCAAGCGUUGUUCGGAAUUACUGGGCGUAAAGGGCGCGCAGGCGGCUGCUCAAGUCAGGCGUGAAAGGCCUGGGCUCAACCCGGGAAUUGCGCUUGAGACUGGGCUGGCUUGAGUGCGGGAGAGGAUGGUGGAAUUCCCAGUGUAGAGGUGAAAUUCGUAGAUAUUGGGAGGAACACCAGUGGCGAAGGCGACUACCUGGCCUGUUUCUUGACGCUGAGGCGCGAAAGCUAGGGGAGCAAACGGG
rnacentral:rRNA from 1 species